rnacentral:rRNA from 1 species
UACGGAGGGUGCGAGCGUUGUUCGGAUUCAUUGGGCGUAAAGGGUGCGUAGGCGGCGUGGUAAGUCGGGUGUGAAAUCUCGGAGCUUAACUCCGAAACUGCAUUCGAUACUGCCGUGCUUGAGGACUGGAGAGGAGACUGGAAUUUACGGUGUAGCGGUGAAAUGCGUAGAUAUCGUAAGGAAGACCAGUGGCGAAGGCGGGUCUCUGGACAGUUCCUGACGCUGAGGCACGAAGGCCAGGGGAGCAAACGGG